GCCCACAUAGCUCAGUUGGUAGAGCGCAUCCUUGGUAAGGAUGAGGUCAUCGGUUCAACUCCGAUUGUGGGCU
rnacentral:tRNA from 1 species